CCUACGGGAGGCAGCAGUGAGGAAUAUUGGUCAAUGGACGAGAGUCUGAACCAGCCAAGUAGCGUGAAGGAUGACUGCCCUAUGGGUUGUAAACUUCUUUUAUCUGGGAAUAAAAUGUUCCACGUGUGGGCUUUUGUAUGUACCAUAUGAAUAAGGAUCGGCUAACUCCGUGCCCGCAGCCGCGGUAAUACGGAGGAUCCGAGCGUUAUCCGGAUUUAUUGUGUUUAAAGGGAGCGUAGGUGGAUUGUUAAGGCAGUUGUGAAAGUUUGCGGCUCAACCGUAGAAUUGCAGUUGAAACUGGCAGUCUUGAGUACAGUAGAGGUGGGCGGAAUUCGUGGUGUAGCGGUGAAAUGCUUAGAUAUCACGAAGAACUCCGAUUGCGAAGGCAGCUUACUAAACUGCCACUGACAUUGAUGCUCGAAAGUGUGGGUAUCAAACAGGAUUAGAUACCCUAGUAGUC
rnacentral:rRNA from 1 species